UGGGUAAUAGCUCAGUGGUAGAAUGCCUGCUUGGCAUGCACAAGGUCCUGGGUUCAAACCCCAGUGCCUCUC
rnacentral:tRNA from 1 species